UGUUACGCAUGCGCGGCUCGCUGCUGCGGCCAUAACUUUAAGCACACGUGUGCGUACUCGUCUGGCAGCCAUGGCUGGCGAGUCUUUCCUCGCUUGUCCUGCGGCCCUCACCUUUUCUGCAUCUUCCGUCAUCAGGGCACAGGCGCAGUGCAGGGGUAUUCCGAGUCCAGGUGGACAUCGAGGCCAGGUGAGUGGCCCCACAGCCUGGAAGGGAUGACCGAGCUCUUCUGGAAGAUGCCCUGUUUUCUUUUGAUGCAAGGUUUCUCGGUGGUUCUUUCCGACCUGGAAUUCCGGAAGUGAAGGAAAAUCUUAAAGCAAUUACAAAAUACAACUUGAGUUUGGUCCCCGGUGUGCAAAUAAAACUCAAGUCUAGGAAACCUAAGAUGCUGGAGCUAGAAGAGGCUUGAUGGCGCUUCAGAGGCCAUCGGGCUGUUUGUGGAACUUCCGCUAGAGAGAUGCAGAAGCUAAGACUCCAGCUGUGUUGCAGCCUCCCUUAGCCUGAGCUUCAUUCUUUGUCAUUGUCCUCCCAGAUUCCUUCAGGUUUUGAAUCAGGACCCCAGCUGGCCCAUUGUCUGGCAUCUGAGCAGAAUAAAACCAUGGGCAUUGCAGCCUGUUAGAGGAAAGCACACAUGCUAAUCAGAAUACCUCCAAAGGCAAGAAGAUCAGAUCAGACUGGGGUACAAAAAGACCCAGUCCCCGGUCUUCCCCCUCCCCCCCAAAUAAAUUGAUUUUUAUCUAUGAUUCA